UACGAAGGGGGCGAGCGUUGUUCGGAUUUACUGGGCGUAAAGGGCGCGCAGGCGGCUUUGUUUGUCAGGCGUGAAAGCCCCGGGCUUAACCUGGGAACUGCGUUUGAUACGGCAGGGCUAGAGUUCGGGAGAGGAGAGUGGAAUUCCCAGUGUAGAGGUGAAAUGCGCAGAUAUCGGGAAGAACACCCGUGGCGAAGGCGGCUCUCUGGGACGGUACUGACGGCUGAGACGCGAAAAGCGUGGGGGAGCGAACAGG
rnacentral:rRNA from 1 species